rnacentral:rRNA from 1 species
AUUGAACGCUGGCGGCAGGCCUAACACAUGCAAGUCGAGCGAGCGGCGGACGGGUGAGUAAUGUAUGGGGACUGCCCGCUAGAGGGGGAUAACUACUGGAAACGGUAGCUAAUACCGAAUACUAUCGGAUAACCCAUAUGGGAUUAGCUAGUAGGUGAGGUAAUGGCUCACCUAGGCGACGCUCCCUAGCUGGUCUGAGAGGAUGAUCAGCCACAGUGGGACGGAGACACGGCCCAUACUCCUACGGAGGCAGGAGGGGGGAAUAUUGCACAAUGAGCGCAAGCCGGGUUCAGACAUGCCGAGUGUAUGAAGAAGGCCCUAGGGUUGUAAAGUACUUUCAGUCUGGAGGCGUUACCGACAGAAGAAGCACCGGCUAACUCCGUGCCAGCCGCCGCGGUAAUAC